UACGUAGGGGGCUAGCGUUGUCCGGAAUCAUUGGGCGUAAAGCGCGUGUAGGCAGUCCGGUAAGUCCGCUGUGAAAGUCGGGGGCUCAACCCUCGGAUGCCGGUGGAUACUGUCGGGCUUGAGUACGGAAGAGGCGAGUGGAAUUCCUGGUGUAGCGGUGAAAUGCGCAGAUAUCAGGAGGAACACCAAUUGCGAAGGCAGCUCGCUGGGACGUUACUGACGCUGAGACGCGAAAGCGUGGGGAGCAAACGGG
rnacentral:rRNA from 1 species